CGGCAUCNCCGAGCUGGGAAAAAAUCUUGAUGAAAGAUGGUCUCGCGNNNAUCAGCUAGUUGGUGAGGUAAAGGCUCNCCAAGGCGACGACGGGUAGCCGGCCUGAGAGGGCGACCGGCCACACUGGGACUGAGACACGGCCCAGACUCCUACGGGAGGCAGCAGUAGGGAAUAUUGGGCAAUGGGCGAAAGCNUGACCCAGCGACGCCGCGUGAGGGAUGAAGGUCUUCGGAUUGUAAACCUCUUUCAGUAGGGAAGAAGCGAAAGUGACGGUACCUAAAGAAGAAGCACCGGCUAACUAUGUGCCAGCAGCCGCGGUAAUACAUAGGGUGCAAGCGUUGUCCGGAAUUAUUGGGCGUAAAGAGCUCGUAGGUCGUUUGUCGCGUCGAUUGUGAAAAUCUGAGGCUCAACCUCAGACCUGCAGUCGAUACGGGCAAACUAGAGUGUGGUAGGGGAGACUGGAAUUCCUGGUGUAGCGGUGGAAUGCGCAGAUAUCAGGAGGAACACCAAUGGCGAAGGCAGGUCUCUGGGCCAUGACUGACACUGAGGAGCGAAAGUGCGGGGAGCGAACAGGAUUAGAUACCCUGGUAGUCCGCACCGUAAACGGUGGGCACUAGUUGUGGGAACCUUCCACGGUUUCCGCGACGCAGCAAACGCAUUAAGUGCCCCGCCUGGGGAGUACGAUCGCAAGAUUAAAACUCAAAGGAAUUGACGGGGCCCCGCACAAGCAGCGGAGCAUGCGGCUUAAUUCGACGCAACGCGAAGAACCUUACCAAGGCUUGACAUAUAGCGAAAAGUGGCAGAGAUGUCAUGUCCGCAAGGGCGCUAUACAGGUGGUGCAUGGUUGUCGUCAGCUCGUGUCGUGAGAUGUUGGGUUAAGUCCCGCAACGAGCGCAACCCUCGUUCUGUGUUACCAGCAUUAAGUUGGGGACUCACAGGAGACUGCCGGGGUCAACUCGGAGGAAGGU
rnacentral:rRNA from 1 species